UCAGGAGGGCAGCGUUAGAAUGCAGUGGCCCAACAUCCCCUACUCCUUGUGGGCCUCGCCAUGACGCACAGCCCCGCGGUGGGGCCGCGCUAGCUGGUCGUGGCCCCUGGAGGGCCGCCCGCGCAUCCGCAAGCACGCGGGAGCACGGGGCACUAGGAUCAAGGAUUGCCUCCCUUUUUCCACCAAACUCCGAGCCUCGUAGGGGACUGCAGCGGCUUCAGUGCCGACUGGUCACGCAGUGGGAGCCACCAGCCACUGAGACCAGGAUUCAAUCCUCAGAAAUUGAACCCUGCCCAGUCGCCCACGGGGGCAUACGCCUGUAAUCUUAGCGCCCUGGGAGGCUGAGGCAGAAGGAUCGCAAAUUUGAGCCCAGCUUGGGCAAGUAGGCGAGACCUUGUCUAAAAGUAUAAAAGAACUGAGAAUGUACUGGAAGCUCAAUGUGAAGACCUUGGUUUCAAUUCCUAGUACUGCCAAAAAUAAAAUAAAAUAUUGAAAUUCCGAGGUCUACAGCGCCUGACGGCACAUUCCGGGUUGCCUGGGGUUAGGAAACUGACCUUGACCAAUGAGGAGCGUGAGGGAUCUUACUGAGGUGGGAAUGUGCCCUGGAAAUUCAAGGACAGCCUAAACUGUACAGUGAGACCCUGUCUCAAAGAAAGAAAGCUGUGAAGACACCAAGCCCAUCUUCCUGAAUGGAUGAAAUAAACAGCAACUGGUGGCAAUUACGGACGCAAGACACGGAACAAUUUUGCUUACUUGAGUGACGGACCCUCCAACAGCAGCCACACACGUGUGCCUGGUCAUUGUGCAAGUCAUUAACACAUGCCCUUGUGGUGGUGUUGGGUUUUGUUUUGUUUUGUUGAUGGCAUUAGAGAUGGAAGCCAGGGCCUCACACAUGCUGGACAAGUACUGAGCCACACCGC
rnacentral:lncRNA from 1 species